rnacentral:rRNA from 1 species
UGAUCCAGCCAUGCCGCGUGCAGGAAGAAGGCCUUCUGGGUUGUAAACUGCUUUUGCCAGGGGAUAAAAGACCCUUGCGAGGGAAAUUGAAGGUACCUGGUGAAUAAGCCACGGCUAACUACGUGCCAGCAGCCGCGGUAAUACGUAGGUGGCAAGCGUUGUCCGGAUUUAUUGGGUUUAAAGGGUGCGUAGCGGUUCCUUAAGUCAGUGGUGAAAUACAGCCGCUUAACGGUUGAGGUGCCAUUGAUACUGGGGAACUUGAGUACAGACGAGG